rnacentral:rRNA from 1 species
CCUACGGGAGGCAGCAGUGAGGAAUUUUCCGCAAUGGGCGAAAGCCUGACGGAGCAAUACCGCGUGAGGGAUGAAGGAUUUUGGUCUGUAAACCUCUUUUCUCAAGAAAGAAGUUCUGACGGUACUUGAGGAAUAAGCAUCGGCUAACUCCGUGCCAGCAGCCGCGGUAAUACGGGGGAUGCAAGCGUUAUCCGGAAUGAUUGGGCGUAAAGCGCCUGUAGGUUGUUUAUUAAGUCCGUUGUUAAAGCCUAGGGCUUAACCCUAGAAAAGCAAUGGAAACUAGUAGACUAGAGUAUGGCAGGGGUAGAGGGAAUUUCUAGUGUAGCGGUGAAAUGCGUAGAUAUUAGAAAGAACACCGGUGGCGAAAGCGCUCUACUGGACCAUUACUGACACUCAGAGGCGAAAGCUAGGGUAGCAAAAGGGAUUAGAUACCCCUGUAGUCCUAGCCGUAAACGAUGGAUACUAGAUGUUGUGCAUUAUGUACAGUAUCGUAGCUAACGCGUUAAGUAUCCCGCCUGGGGAGUACGCUCGCAAGGGUGAAACUCAAAGGAAUUGACCGGNNGAGANGCGACGACGACACGAGGAGAG